AGUGAACGCUGGCGGUAGGCCUAACACAUGCAAGUCGAACGGCAGCACAGUAAGAGCUUGCUCUUACGGGUGGCGAGUGGCGGACGGGUGAGGAAUACAUCGGAAUCUACUUUUUCGUGGGGGAUAACGUAGGGAAACUUACGCUAAUACCGCAUACGACCUACGGGGGAAAGCAGGGGAUCUUCGGACCUUUCGCGAUUGAAUGAGCCGAUGUCGGAUUAGCUAGUUGGCGGGGUAAAGGCCCACCAAGGCGACGAUCCGUAGCUGGUCUGAGAGGAUGGUCAGCCACACUGGAACUGAGACACGGUCCCGACUCCUACGGGAGGCCGCAGUGGGGAAUAUUGGGCAAUGGGCGCAAGCCUGAUCCAGCCAUACCGCGUGGGUGCAGAAGGCCUUCGGGUUGUAAAGCCCUUUUGUUGGGAAAGAAAAGCAGCAGGUUAAUACCCCGCUGUUCUGACGGUACCCAAAGAAUAAGCACCGGCUAACUUCGUG
rnacentral:rRNA from 1 species